rnacentral:rRNA from 1 species
UACGAAGGGGGCUAGCGUUGCUCGGAAUCACUGGGCGUAAAGCGCACGUAGGCGGAUCUUUAAGUCAGAGGUGAAAUCCUGGAGCUCAACUCCAGAACUGCCUUUGAUACUGGGGAUCUUGAGUCCGGGAGAGGUGAGUGGAACUGCGAGUGUAGAGGUGAAAUUCGUAGAUAUUCGCAAGAACACCAGUGGCGAAGGCGGCUCACUGGCCCGGUACUGACGCUGAGGUGCGAAAGCGUGGGGAGCAAACAGG